rfam:Parcubacteria bacterium GW2011_GWA1_44_13 TW27_C0013, whole genome shotgun sequence.
UAACAGGAAAUAUAAGAGCAUAUGGUGGAUGCCUUGGUUCUAAGAGGCGAUGAAAGACGUAGCAUGGCUGCGAUAAGCUUCGGGGAGGUGCCUAGCAACCUUUGAUCCGGA